GGUCAGGAAACAACAUUCAACCUUCUCUCCUUCACUCUUCUUCAUCUUGGUAGAAAUCCUCAAGUCAUGAAAAAACUCCGUGAUGAAAUUGAUUCUGUAUUGAAAGGGAGAAACUAUGUUGAAUAUUCAGAUAUCAGCAAGAUGAAGUAUCUAACCUUGGUUUUGAAAGAGGCUCUUAGAAUCAACCCUCCUUUUGGUCAUAUCCAUAGACUUUUACCUCAUGAGAUGGAUCUAUGUGGAUACAAAGUACCUAAAGGCAGUGUUGUAAUGGUAAGUAUGUAUAUCCACA